rnacentral:pre_miRNA from 1 species
UUAACUCAAAUUUAUAUGGAGUUGGAACGUUUGCCGCUAGAGGCGCUGUUCUAACUGCAUACAAAUUUGAAUUA